AAGCUCAGCGCCAAUCUUGACUUGACUGAUCAGGACUCCUCAGUUCUCCUUCUCACAAUGAGGCUCUCUGCUCAGCUCCUGGGGCUGCUAAUGCUCUGGGUCCCUGGAUCCAGUGGGGAUAUUGUGAUGACCCAGACUCCACUCUUCCUGCCCGUCACCCCUGGAGAGCCGGCCUCCAUCUCCUGCAGGUCUAGUCAGAGCCUCCUGCAUAGUAAUGGAAACACCUACUUGAAUUGGUUUUUGCAGAAGCCAGGCCAACCUCCAAGGCGCCUAAUUUAUAAGGUUUCUACCCGGGACCCUGGGGUCCCAGACAGAUUCAGUGGCAGUGGGGCAGGGACAGAUUUUACACUGAAAAUCAGCAGAGUAGAGGCUGAGGAUGUUGGGGUUUAUUACUGCCUGCAGGGUACACAAUAUCCUCACACAGUGGUACAGCCCUGA